CCUACGGGAGGCAGCAGUGGGGAAUAUUGGACAAUGGGGGAACCCUGAUCCAGCGACGCCACGUGAGUGAAGAAGUAUUUCGGUAUGUAAAGCUCUAUCAGCAGGGAAGAAAAUGACGGUACCUGACUAAGAAUCCCCGGCUAACUACGUGCCAGCAGCCGCGGUAAUACGUAGGGGGCACGCGUUAUCCGGAUUUACUGGGUGUAAAGGGAGCGUAGACGGCAGGGCAAGUCUGGAGUGAAAUCCCAUGGCUUAACAAUGGAACUGCAUUGGAAACUGUGCAGCUAGAGUGCAGGAGAGGUAAGCGGAAUUCGUAGUGUAGCGGUGAAAUGCGGAGAGAUUAGGAGGAACACCAGUGGCGAAGGCGGCUUACUGGACUGUAACUGACGUUGAGGCUCGAAAGCGUGGGGAGCAAACAGGAUUAGAUACCCGAGUAGUC
rnacentral:rRNA from 1 species